GGCGAGUGAAGCGGCAACAGCUCAAAUUUGAAAUCUGGCUCUUUCAGGGUCCGAGUUGUAAUUUGUAGAGGGUGCUUUGGAGUUGACUGUGGUCUAAGUUCCUUGGAACAGGACGUCGCAGAGGGUGAGAAUCCCGUAUGUGGCCGCCAGUCUUCUCCGUGUAAAGCCCCUUCGACGAGUCGAGUUGUUUGGGAAUGCAGCUCUAAAUGGGAGGUAAAUUUCUUCUAAAGCUAAAUAUUGGCCAGAGACCGAUAGCGCACAAGUAGAGUGAUCGAAAGAUGAAAAGCACUUUGGAAAGAGAGUCAAAAAGCACGUGAAAUUGUUGAAAGGGAAGCGCUUGCAGCCAGACUUGCCUGUAGUUGCUCAUCCGGGCUUUUGCCCGGUGCACUCUUCUAUAGGCAGGCCAGCAUCAGUCGCGGCGGUUGGAUAAAUGUCUGCACAAUGUACCUCUCUUCGGGGAGGACUUAUAGGGCAGGCGGCAUACAACCAGCUGCGAUUGAGGUCCGCGCAUCUGCUAGGAUGCUGGCGUAAUGGCUGUAAGC
rnacentral:rRNA from 2 species